GGGAACGUGAUCCAAUGGCGAACGGUUAGUCUUUCUUAGCUAAUAUGUGGGUUCGAAUCCCACCGUUCCUA
rnacentral:tRNA from 1 species